rnacentral:rRNA from 1 species
AUUGAACGCUGGCGGCAUGCCUUACACAUGCAAGUCGAGCGGCAGCGCGGGGGCAACCCUGGCGGCGAGCGACGAACGGGUGAGUAAUGCAUCGGAACGUGUCCUCUUGUGGGGGAUAACCAGUCGAAAGACUGGCUAAUACCGCACGAGCUCGCGAGAGGAAAGCAGGGGACCGCAAGGCCUUGCGCGAGAGGCGCGGCCGAUGCCGGAUUAGCUAGUUGGUGGGGGAACGGCCCACCAAGGCGACGAUCCGUAGCUGGUCUGGAAGGACGACCGGCCACACUGGGACUGAGACACGGCCCAGACUCCUACGGGAGGCAGCAGUGGGGAAUUUUGGACAAUGGGGGCAACCCUGAUCCAGCCAUGCCGCGUGUGUGAAGAAGGCCUUCGGGUUGUAAAGCACUUUCGGCCGGAACGAAAUCGCGCGAGCUAACACCCCGCGUGGAUGACGGUACCGGAAGAAGAAGCACCGGCUAACUACGUGCCAGCCGCCGCCGUAA